rnacentral:ribozyme from 1 species
UUCUUUGGAAGUGAUGAACCACAUCGCGUCGGACAGCCCACUUUACCAAAGCUUCUUCGACUUGUUUCAGCUGCAGAAGU